CAUUACAUGAUACAUAUUAUGUUGUAGCUCAUUUUCAUUUUGUUCUUUCUUUAGGAGCUGUCAUUGCUAUCUUCUCUGGAAUAGUCUUCGUUGGAG
rnacentral:rRNA from 1 species